AGAAACCAUCAACAGCCACCUUACAUCUUAGAAACAUUUACAAACGAGCAGCAAAGAAUGCAAUUUCAAAUUAUCGCCAGCACGCGAUGAAUUAUCUUUCUAGUUUCCAAGGAAAAAAUGAAGUGUGAUCUUCGCUAAAACUAGACACGCUAAAAUGUUACGGAUUUGAAUUGAUAGCAGACUGUAAAAUGUGAUGUAAAUUUAAAACAAAAAAAAAAAUAUAUAUAUAUAUAUAUGAAAGCUUAAGAUUCCAAAAAAUAUAUAUCUGAAAUGUUAAGCUGAAAUUAGAAAAAUAUUUAAGAUUGCAAAAAUCAAAAGCUUCAAAAGCAAGGCAGGCAAAUUAAAUACCAUAUUAUUAAUGUCACACAAGUGAACUAACUCAAGCCUUCUAGGGAUGAAUAUUCGUAACUAACUAAAGGGGGUGUAGUCAAAUUAGGAUCUGAUAGGAUUUUAAUAGACUCUAAAAUCUGAAUGUAGUCAAUUAAAAUUUUAAAAAGGAUUUUAAAGGACUUUGAAAUCAGGAUGUAGUCAAGUUAGGAUUUAGCAGGAUUUUAAAUAAUACAUUCAAAUCCAUAGGUAGUCAAUUACGUUUUAAAAAAGUUCAUCCAAAUCUAGGUGUAGUGAGAAUACUAAAGAUUUACUAGGAUUUUAAGGAAUGGGGGAUUUCAAUGGAUUUGAAGAUGGGUAAUUUAAAUACCAAAUGCUAUCAACAAUCCAACCCUCCCCCCCUCCCCCCCCCCCCCCCUCUGAUUUCUUUCACGCCAGACAACAGAAGAGGAAGAGUCAUGCUCGCAAACUGAAGAUACAUCAUCCUGAAUCCACACCUGCAAAUGGUAAGAAUAAUGGGAAAGAAGAAUUACUAGGGCUUACUGUAUUUAUGGUCGGCUGGAGCAACUGAGUUUAUGUAAUGUCUCAAACAAGCACAAAAGCCAAAGGUGGGGAAGAAAUGGAAGUGGACGAAGUGGAUGAAGAAAUGGAAGUGGAGCAAAUGGUGGAAGAACAAAUUGAAGAAGAAGAAGAAACUGAUGAAGAACAAAUUGAGGAAGAAGAACUUUAUGAAACCAUUAAAUAUUCAUUGAUGGCAAUUCAAGUUGUAGUCCACGUGCUAAAAGAGCUUAUAAUUACAUUUGGACAACCUAUUGAACGUCCUUUAAAUCGACGAUCAAUUACUAUGGAAUGAUACAAUUAUAUACAUAAAGUAUUGAGAGAGGACCGCCCAGAGGAUUUCCGACAAAGGUAUAGAAUGUAUCCUGAUGUGUUUGUGAAGUUGUUUGGAUCCAAAAUUACACCAUCGGUUCAAAUAAUCGAGGUCGUCGGAUGAUUAGA